GCACUGUUAAAUGAACUAUUCUGGCCAAACUGUUACCAUGGAAGACCCCAUAAAUAGUCCAGAGCAUGGCAGUAUCAAAUGGCUCUCAGACUAAGUGUCCCUGGGCAGAGACCAUACUGGACCUGGAACCUUGCAAACAGCGUUUAAACAAGGCUGUAGAAAGACUGGUUCAGAUUACAACCAGAGCCUGGUGAGGGCUCAAAAACUCACACAGCUCGCCACUGUUGUACACAGAAGCAUGGAAGCAGCUUUCUAGAGGACAGUGCUCCUUGAAUGUAAAUCAGCAGUGCCAAAAAGAUGACAAAGACAAUUGCACCUCCUGCAAUGCUCCCGAUGAGAACAAUGUCCAGCGGCCCUAGCUCAGAGAGAAGGAGGAGAUGUCACAGAGAGAGAAUAAAACUCCAAAGUCUGGAAUUUAGUCCCAGUGAUCUGGAGGAUGUACACAUGUGAAGCUUAUGACAUGGAUAACGAUGAUGAUAUGAAAACCUAGUUAUAUAGCAUCUUUUGUCCCAGCAUCUCAAAGCAUUUUCACAAACAAUAAAUUAAGACUCAUAACACCCAUCUGAGAUAAUGUUAAGUAUUAUUAUCCCCAUUUUACAGAGGGGGAAAUUGAGGCACAAACAAGGCUAAACCACUAACUUAUGGUCAAAGAAAACUUGGUGGGAAGGAGAAUUUUUUCAUGAAACAGAGUUAUGAAAUGUAUGUAUGAUGUGCUUUGUUUGAUGAAAGUUCUAGGGAAAGUUUGAGGCAGAAUUCACAGGUGUGCCAAGGAGUUUUACUUAAGCACAAUAGGUGUCAGACCUCAAAAGUCUUGUUCUAGAUUGACACACAAAGAUCUGAGUGCCCUUCUGGCCUUUUAAGGACUUUCAAAAUGCUUUGACUGGGCAAAAGUAGGACUCAGAGUCUGACAAAAACCAGACUUUUUCAGGAGCCGGAAAUACUGUGAGAACAGCUUGUCUUGUGGUAUUUCAGAGCUUGCUCUGCUAGCUUUGGCUGGAACUCGAAACAAGUGUUACACAAUAAUUAACAAUAGUGAAGAAACAAAAAAAACUAACCAGACUUUAUGUAGCCUCAAAACAAAAGUUUGGUUUGAUCUGAGGGUGAAGGUUGAUGGGAUUGUUCCUUAUUUUAGCCAAAUAGGCUUGCUUGUAUCUCCACUUCCCCCCUCCAGCACCACAUCUCUUUGGGA